rnacentral:rRNA from 1 species
GACGAACGCUGGCGGCGUGCCUAAUACAUGCAAGUCGAACGCUUUUUCUUUCACCGGAGCUUGCUCCAUCGAAAGAAAAAGAGUGGCGAACGGGUGAGUAACACGUGGGUAACCUGCCCAUCAGAAGGGGAUAACACUUGGAAACAGGUGCUAAUACCGUAUAACACUAUUUUCCGCAUGGAAGAAAGUUGAAAGGCGCUUUUGCGUCACUGAUGGAUGGACCCGCGGUGCAUUAGCUAGUUGGUGAGGUAACGGCUCACCAGGGCAACGAUGCAUAGCCGACCUGAGAGGGUGAUCGGCCACACUGGGACUGAGACACGGCCCAGACUCCUACGGGAGGCAGCAGUAGGGAAUCUUCGGCAACGGACGAAAGUCUGACCGAGCAACGCCGCGUGAGUGAAGAAGGUUUUCGGAUCGUAAAACUCUGUUGUUAGAGAAGAACAAAGAUGAGAGUACAAUGUUCAUCCCUUGACGGUAUCUAACCAGAAAGCCACGGCUAACUACGUGCCAGCCGCCGCGGUAA